UAACAAUGAUUUCCCUAGUAACGGCGAGUGAAGAGGAAAGAGCUCAAAGUUGGAAACUGUUUGGCUUAGCUAAACCGUAUUGUAAACUGUAGAAACAUUUUCCUGGCAAGCCGGAUUAAUAAGUCCUUUGGAACAAGGCAUCAUGGAGGGUGAGAAUCCCGUCUUUGAUCCGAGUAGUUGUCUUUUGUGAUAUGUUUUCAAAGAGUCAGGUUGUUUGGGAAUGCAGCCUAAAUUGGGUGGUAAAUCUCACCUAAAGCUAAAUAUUUGCGAGAGACCGAUAGCGAACAAGUACCGUGAGGGAAAGAUGAAAAGAACUUUGAAAAGAGAGUUAAACAGUAUGUGAAAUUGUUAAAAGGGAACCGUUUGGAGCCAG
rnacentral:rRNA from 1 species